rnacentral:rRNA from 1 species
GAUGAACGCUGGCGGCGCGCCUAACACAUGCAAGUCGAACGAUUAAAGCACCUUCGGGUGUGUAUAAAGUGGCGAACGGCUGAGUAACACGUGGGCAACCUGCCCCUUUCAUUGGGAUAGCCACGGGAAACCGUGGAUAAUACCGAAUACUUCGAGACUUCCGCAUGGAAGACUCGAGAAAGCUCCGGCGGGGAGGGAUGGGCCCGCGGCCUGUUAGCUUGUUGGUGGGGUAACGGCCUACCAAGGCAAUGAUGGGUAGCUGAGUUGAGAGACCGACCAGCCAGAUUGGGACUGAGACACGGCCCAGACUCCUACGGGAGGCAGCAGUGGGGAAUCUUGCACAAUGGGCGAAAGCCUGAUGCAGCGACGCCGCGUGCGGGAUGAAGGCCUUCGGGUUGUAAACCGCUUUCAGCAGGGACGAGGCGAAAGUGACGGUACCUGCAGAAGAAGCCCCGGCUAACUACGUG